rnacentral:rRNA from 1 species
GAUGAACGCUGGCGGAAUGCUUAACACAUGCAAGUCGAAGGCGAAGCCGUUCUUGCACAGCCUAGCCAAGGCGGACGGGGGAGUAACGCGUAAGGAACUUCCCCUGCUGUCCGUUAUAACAGACUCAAACAACUGAUAAGACCUGGUAAAGGCAGCCGGACUCAUGUCGAGCCUGAUGGAAAGGGAUGCUGCGGGAGAUUCUAGCGUCCUAUUAGCUUGUUGUUGGGGUGAGGGUCCACCAAGGCGAUGAUAGGUGGCCGGCCGGAGAGGGUGGACGGCCACAAGGGGUGUGAGAUGCGGCAGUUACUCCUACGGGAGAGAGGAGUGGAGAAUAGUGGAAAAUGGGGGCAACGGUGAUCGAGCAAUUCUGUGUGGAAGAUGAAGGUUUUCGGAUUGUAAAGUGCUUUCAGCAGAGAAGAAAAAAAUGACGGUACCUGCAGAAGAAGCACCGGCUAACUACGUG